UCUACUUCCGGGUCAGCUUGGCGAAUGUUGACUGUCGUGCGCGGCUAAUUUGAGCGACUACACAAGACAUCGGAGGGGGAGAGAAUAAUGGAGGAGGACUUGGAAAACUUCUUGCGAUCAAGAAAUGUCGCUCAGGUGGACAUUACGCGCAUGAAAAGCGACAAGGUUGACAUGGAGGUAAUUUCUCUGAUGACUGAAGAGCAAAUGGGCAAAUAUAUCACUUCCUAUGGUGAUCGAAUAGCUGUCCUUUGCUUUUGUCAACAAAAAAUGUCCAGGGGUGAUAAUGAAAUGCUCCUCCAAAGAUUGAGAGACAAAAUAAGAUCGAUUAAAAAAGGUGUACUGGGUGGAUCUCGAAAUGUGCUCCAAAACCUUGAUGAGAGAAUGGCAAGAUUUAAAAAUUUUAUUGGCUCUUGGCACUUUUGAGAUGUAAAACAUCUGGCAUAGUUAACCACGUGAAGGGCAGUCUGCAAUUGUUUUCCAUUUGUGUAUUGUGCAUUAUUAAAAUGCAAUCGAUUCUGUGUUAGUUCUCCAUUCCUUCCAUUUUCUGCACCACUUAUUCUCAUGAUGGUUUCAGGCAAGAUGGGAGUUUUCAGUUUUACCCAAAGGUCUGAAGUUGUACAUUCCAUUUAAAAUGUUGAGAUUAAUGUUUGUAAGAUUUUGUCAAUGUGAAUAAAAUUUGUUCCAAAUCAUUCUUAACAGUUUUUUUUAAACACAAGAAACCACCUGCUGACGAAAGUGAGGAGUGACAAUUACGCAGUCAUCAUUUACAUGCAGGUGAAAAUUCAAUUGGGAUGAUGUACAAUUGUGUAGGAAUACUCCCCAGCAUCCACGUUGGUUAAGUAUUUGUGAAUAAAGUCAGGAACCAAGAAAGAAUGUUUAUUUACACCAAUAAUGCUUUGACAGACAAACAUUUUAUAUUGUAGAUCAAAUAUGUUGUCCUUAUACUGUACAGGUAUAAAAAACAGCAGAUAAACAAUGCUUUUAAUUAUGAUGGGUAUAUAUUAUUUGUCAUCAAAAGUGUUUCAAUUAUCCUUUGAAGGUGAAGUGAUAAAAGAAAUGACAAUGGUCAAAUUCAGGCUUCAAUAAAUGUUACUUCUCACACCAUAGCGGUGAGGGCCUCUCUGAGGUGUAAAUACAAGUUCACAGCCUGAAAUGGAUCUUUUGGUGGCAUUAGAUCGGACUGGGCCAUUAAAAAAGCACACAAUGCAAAUACAUCUGGAUCACAAGGCAUGGUCAAACGAAACACACA